AGCGGGCGAGGUUGCUUCGGUAACUGAGCUAGCGGCGGACGGGUGAGUAAAGCUUAGGAAUCUGCCUAUUAGUGGGGGACAACAUUCCGAAAGGGAUGCUAAUACCGCAUACGUCCUACGGGAGAAAGCAGGGGAUCACUUGUGACCUUGCGCUAAUAGAUGAGCCUAAGUCGGAUUAGCUAGUUGGUGGGGUAAAGGCCUACCAAGGCGACGAUCUGUAGCGGGUCUGAGAGGAUGAUCCGCCACACUGGGACUGAGACACGGCCCAGACUCCUACGGGAGGCAGCAGUGGGGAAUAUUGGACAAUGGGGGGAACCCUGAUCCAGCCAUGCCGCGUGUGUGAAGAAGGCCUUUUGGUUGUAAAGCACUUUAAGCGAGGAGGAGGCUUACCUGGUUAAUACCUGGGAUAAGUGGACGUUACUCGCAGAAUAAGCACCGGCUAACUCUGUGCCAGCAGCCGCGGUAAUACAGAGGGUGCGAGCGUUAAUCGGAUUUACUGGGCGUAAAGCGCGCGUAGGUGGUUAAUUAAGUCAAAUGUGAAAUCCCCGAGCUUAACUUGGGAAUUGCAUUCGAUACUGGUUAGCUAGAGUAUGGGAGAGGAUGGUAGAAUUCCAGGUGUAGCGGUGAAAUGCGUAGAGAUCUGGAGGAAUACCGAUGGCGAAGGCAGCCAUCUGGCCUAAUACUGACACUGAGGUGCGAAAGCAUGGGGAGCAAACAGGAUUAGAUACCCUGGUAGUCCAUGCCGUAAACGAUGUCUACUAGCCGUUGGGGGAUUUGAUCCUUUAGUGGCGCAGCUAACGCGAUAAGUAGACCGCCUGGGGAGUACGGUCGCAAGACUAAAACUCAAAUGAAUUGACGGGGGCCCGCACAAGCGGUGGAGCAUGUGGUUUAAUUCGAUGCAACGCGAAGAACCUUACCUGGCCUUGACAUAGUAGAGACUUUCCAGAGAUGGAUUGGUGCCUUCGGGAAUC
rnacentral:rRNA from 2 species